rnacentral:rRNA from 1 species
GAUGAACGCUGGCGGCGUGCCUAAUACAUGCAAGUCGAGCGAACGGACGAGAAGCUUGCUUCUCUGGUGUUAGCGGCGGACGGGUGAGUAACACGUGGAUAGCCUACCUAUAAGACUGGGAUAACUUCGGGAAACCGGAGCUAAUACCGGAUGAUAUUUUGAACCGCAUGGUUCAAAAGUGAAAGACGGUCUUGCUGUCACUUAUAGAUGGAUCCGCGCUGCAUUAGCUAGUUGGUAAGGUAACGGCUUACCAAGGCAACGAUGCAUAGCCGACCUGAGAGGGUGAUCGGCCACACUGGAACUGAGACACGGUCCAGACUCCUACGGGAGGCAGCAGUGGGGAAUCUUCCGCAAUGGGCGAAAGCCUGACGGAGCAACGCCGCGUGAGUGAUGAAGGUCUUCGGAUCGUAAAACUCUGUUAUUAGGGAAGAACAUAUGUGUAAGUAACUGUGCACAUCUUGAUGGUACCUAAUCAGAAAGCCACGGCUAACUACGUG